AGAGUUUGAUCCUGGCUCAGAGCGAACGCUGGCGGCAGGCCUAACACAUGCAAGUCGAACGAACUCUUCGGAGUUAGUGGCGGACGGGUGAGUAACACGUGGGAACGUGCCUUUUGGUUCGGAAUAACUCAGGGAAACUUGUGCUAAUACCGAAUGUGCCCUUCGGGGGAAAGAUUUAUCGCCAUUAGAGCGGCCCGCGUCUGAUUAGCUAGUUGGUGAGGUAACGGCUCACCAAGGCGACGAUCAGUAGCUGGUCUGAGAGGAUGACCAGCCACACUGGGACUGAGACACGGCCCAGACUCCUACGGGAGGCAGCAGUGGGGAAUCUUGCGCAAUGGGCGAAAGCCUGACGCAGCCAUGCCGCGUGAAUGAUGAAGGUCUUAGGAUUGUAAAAUUCUUUCACCGGGGACGAUAAUGACGGUACCCGGAGAAGAAGCCCCGGCUAACUUCGUG
rnacentral:rRNA from 1 species